ACGGAGGGGGCUAGCGUUGUUCGGAAUUACUGGGCGUAAAGGGCGCGUAGGCGGCUUGCUAAGUCGGUGGUGAAAUCCCGUGGCUCAACUACGGAACUGCCAUCGAUACUGGCGAGCUUGAAUCCGGGAUAGGUCGGCGGAAUUGCUGGUGUAGCGGUGAAAUGCGUAGAUAUCAGCAGGAACACCGAUGGCGAAGGCAGCUGGCUGGACCGGUAUUGACGCUGAGGCGCGAAAGCGUGGGUAGCAAACAGGAUUAGAUACCCUGGUAGUCCACGCCCUAAACGAUGGAUACUUGGUGUGACCGGCGCAGUGCCGGUUGUGCCGCAGCUAACGCAGUAAGUAUCCCGCCUGGGGAGUACGAUCGCAAGAUUG
rnacentral:rRNA from 1 species